rnacentral:rRNA from 1 species
AUUGAACGCUGGCGGAAUGCUUUACACAUGCAAGUCGAACGGCAGCACGGGGGCAGCCCUGGUGGCGAGUGGCGAACGGGUGAGUAAUACAUCGGAACGUGCCCGGUCGUGGGGGAUAACGUAGCGAAAGUUACGCUAAUACCGCAUACGAUCUGAGGAUGAAAGCGGGGGACCUUCGGGCCUCGCGCGAUCGGAGCGGCCGAUGUCAGACUAGGUAGUUGGUGGGGUAAAGGCCUACCAAGCCGACGAUCUGUAGCUGGUCUGAGAGGACGACCAGCCACACUGGAGCUGAGACACGGCCCAGACUCCUACGGGAGGCAGCAGUGGGGAAUUUUGGACAAUGGGCGCAAGCCUGAUCCAGCCAUUCCGCGUGCAGGACGAAGGCCUUCGGGUUGUAAACUGCUUUUGUACGGAACGAAAAGGCUCUGGCUAAUACCUGGGGCUCAUGACGGUACCGUAAGAAUAAGCACCGGCUAACUACGUG